rnacentral:snRNA from 1 species
GUGCUUGCUUCAGCAGCAUAUUUACUAAAAUUGGAACGAUACAGAGAAGAUUAGCAUGGCCCCUGUGCAAGGAUGACAACACAAAUUCGUGAAGCGUUCCAUAAAAAA